rnacentral:rRNA from 1 species
UGGCAAACCGGAGGAAGGUGGGGAUGAAGUCAAAUCAUCAUGCCCCUUAUGACCUGGGCUUCACACGUGCUACAAUGGGAAGUACAACGAGUCGCGAAGUUGCGAGGCUAAGCUAAUCUUCUAAAGCUUCUUUCAGUUUGGAUUGCAGGCUGCAACUUAGCUGCAUGAAGCCGGAAUUGGUAGUAAUCGGGGAUCAGCCCGGCGCGGUGAAUUCGUUUCCGGGCCUUGUACACCCCGCCCGUCACCCCCCGAGAGUUUGUAACCCCCGAAGUCGGUGAGGUAACCUUUUUGGAGCCAGCCGCCUAAGGUGGGAUAGAUGAUUGGGGUGAAGUCGUAACAAGGUAGCCGAUCAGAACGAAG